rnacentral:sRNA from 1 species
CUGACUGCUCUGGAGACUGAAGUUCUCUGCAUAUCCUCAGAACAGGUGUGGCAUGAGUUAGCAGCAGCUUUCUCACAUUGCUACAACUAUGUGCCUCAACUCCACAAAAGAGAGAACACCUGAAAGCGUGACAAAGGAGGUUAGUCUCUAGGCAACCUCUGUACAGAGAUGGU